AUACGAAAGGUGCAAGCGUUGUUCGGAUUUACUGGGCGUAAAGAGAGUGUAGGUUGUUUAUUAAGUCGGAUGUGAAAUCCCGGGGCUCAACCUCGGAACUGCAUUCGAUACUGAUAGGCUAGAGUUUGGGAGGGGUAAGCGGAAUUCCGUGUGUAGCAGUGAAAUGCGUAGAUAUACGGAGGAACACCUGAGGCGAAGGCGGCUUACUGGACCAAUACUGACACUGAGACUCGAAAGCGUGGGUAGCAAACAGGAUUAGAGACCCUAGUAGUCC
rnacentral:rRNA from 1 species